rnacentral:tRNA from 1 species
UGGGAAUUAGUAUAAAUGAGUAUAGUUGACUGUUAAUCAAGUGGUUAUAUUCCCAG